UACGUAGGGUGCAAGCGUUGUCCGGAAUUAUUGGGCGUAAAGAGCUUGUAGGCGGUUUGUCGCGUCUGCUGUGAAAUUUCGGGGCUCAACCCCGAACUUGCAGUGGGUACGGGCAGACUAGAGUGUGGUAGGGGAGACUGGAAUUCCUGGUGUAGCGGUGAAAUGCGUAGAUAUCCGGAGGAACACCGGUGGCGAAGGCGGCUUCCUGGACCGACACUGACGCUGAGGCGCGAAAGCUAGGGGAGCAAAGCGGG
rnacentral:rRNA from 1 species